CAUGGGGCUUUUUGGAGCAAGCAUCUGUUAGAGAAGCUGACACAAAGGAGAACCCGUCACGAAAGCCUCUCAUUAAGAUGUGUCAUUCACUUGAACGAUACAACCAUAUGAAUCACCUAGCAAGUUCAUUUCCUCAUCCCUGCAACCUUAGUCCAGGAGGAAGAGGCUCAGAGAAAGACCCAACAGGAAACAAGACAGAUAUGAAAGAAUCAUCAAGUUCUACAGCAAAUUUGAUGUGUGAGGAUAGACCAGCCUGGCAGAUUCAAC
rnacentral:lncRNA from 1 species